GAAAUAAACGAGAUAAUCUAAAUAAUCUAAUAGACAUCUGAAGAACUACAUAGUAGAAGAACAGAUGUACACUCCAAGCAAUUUGUAUACACAUGCUCCUUCUCCCAGUAUGAAGCUACAGCUUUUGUGCAGGUGCCAUUAGCAACACCUGGAAGUGGGAAAAAUUCUGAGGGAAGUCAUUGGGAGUUUUGGGAACGACGCUGGAGCAGAGAAGACGAUAGUUGCUUUAAGCAAACUGCAGCUGUUCCCAUGCACCUAUCACUCACCUCGUUCCUUCAAGUACAUGAUUCAUGUUGGAGUUUUCCUUUUGACAAGUAUGCCACAGUCAAAAACAGGACAGGGAAGGUAAACAAGAGAAAAUGGGUGUUUGGUAUGGAAGCUACAUUCUUGUUGCACAGCACUGCAAAGGCCAGGUGUGAAUGCACUGUGCAUCUGGGGCCCAUAAAAUACGGCCAAAAGGUGAGACCAUCAAUUUUAACAGUUGCUUCCCCAACCCUUUUCUUGUCUUCUCUUCUACCCCCAUAAGCCAGGAACUUCAAUCUCUGAUUGGUAGCUACCAGCUUGAAUGCACAAACAUUGUGGAAAUCAUUUAAUAG
rnacentral:lncRNA from 1 species